CCCUCACUCAAAACUACUUAAUCUAUUUCCAUCCCUCUCUCUCUGUGUCUCGCGCUCUCUUUUUCUCUCUCAGCCUCUCCAUCUGUUCAUCUUCUUCGCCUCACUUGCAUGAACGACGAGGCUUACAAAUGGGCAGAGGUCGAAUAGGCGAUCACGAACGGGUAGAGAUCGAAGGUGGGCUCACGAACGGGGAGACGGCGGUGGAUGAACAGUCGACGAAUCCAAUGCCUGGGUGGGUUUCAUGAUGGCUGAGCUCAGGAGGCUUUACGGUGGCUUGGGAAUAAAAUGAAGAACUCUCUUAGAUUCUUCCUCUCAAAAUCUCACAUCUUUCAAUGAGCUUAACUGUCAAAGGUUGGUAUAUUGAAGGAGGAUGAGGAUGACUUGCGGUGCUGAUACUAUAAAAGGAUAUAGGGUUUUGAAAGAAUAUAAGG